rnacentral:rRNA from 1 species
CCUACGGGUGGCAGCAGUGAGGAAUAUUGGUCAAUGGGCGCGAGCCUGAACCAGCCAAGUCGCGUGCAGGAAGACGGUCCUAUGGGUUGUAAACCGCUUUUAUCGGGGAGCAAACGACGUCACGCGUGGCGUUCCGCGAGUACCCGAAGAAAAAGCAUCGGCUAACUCCGUGCCAGCAGCCGCGGUAAUACGGAGGGUGCGAGCGUUAUCCGGAUUUAUUGGGUUUAAAGGGUGCGCAGGCGGAAGCUCAAGUCAGCGGUAAAAUUGAGAGGCUCAACCUCUUCGUGCCGUUGAAACUGGUUUUCUUGAGUGAGCGAGAAGUAUGCGGAAUGCGUGGUGUAGCGGUGAAAUGCAUAGAUAUCACGCAGAACUCCGAUUGCGAAGGCAGCAUACCGGCGCUUAACUGACGCUCAUGCACGAAAGUGCGGGUAUCGAACAGGAUUAGAUACCCGUGUAGUC